AUCUAUGGCCAUAUCACCCUGAAUGUGCCUGAUCUCAUCUGAUCUCAGAAGAAUGGGUGUCAAAAUUUCUUCACUGGUAGAUA
rnacentral:rRNA from 1 species